UGUCAAAUCAAAAAAGCGGAGGAAAAGAAACUAACAAGGAUUCCCCUAGUAAUGGCGAAUGAAGAGGGAAAAGCCCAAAUUUGUAAUCUGGCUCUUUCAGAGUCCGAGUUGUAAUUUUAAGAACUGUUUUCAGUGCUGGACCAUGUACAAGUCUGUUGAAAAGCAGCAUCAUAGAAGGUGAUAAUCCUGUUCAUGAUAUGGACUACCAGUGCAAUAUGAUACAGUCUCUAAGAGUCGAGUUGUUUGGGAAUGCAGCUCAAAGUGGGUGGUAAAUUCCAUCUAAGGCUAAAUAUUGAUGAGAGACCGAUAGCAAACAAGUACCGUGAGGGAAAGAUGAAAAGAACUUUGGAAAGAGAGUUAACAGUACGUGAAAUUGUUAAAAGGGAAACAAUUGAAGUUAGACUUGUUAUUAUUAGUUCAACCUUUUCUAAGGGGGUAUUCUAAUGAUUAACAGACCAACAUCAAUUUUUGGGUGUUGGAGAAGGGUUUAAGGAAAUGUAGCAGUUUUUGACUGUGUUAUAGUCCUGAGCUUUGAUACAAUGCUUAAGAUUGAGGAAUGCAGUAAGCCCUUUCUUUUUUUGGGUGGAACAAAUUAUUGUUCUUCUUACUGAGGAUGUUGGUGCAAUAGCUUUAAAUGACCCGUCUUGAAACACGGCAAGA
rnacentral:rRNA from 1 species